rnacentral:misc_RNA from 1 species
CAAUAGCAGAUUGGCUGGAAAACUUCAGAUUCUAAACAUGCACUCUGUAAGAUGAGAAACCACUACCCAUUAACAUACCACCUUAAACGUUACCAAAAUUUUCACAGCAAACAAGCCUUCAAUCUAUUCAAAUUAAUAUCACCUCUUAUUCAGGUGCCAAACCCAUGUUUUUCAUUCCCUAAACCCACCAGAACGCUCCAACUAGCCAAUCUCUUACGAUCACUUCCUCAAAACAACCCCAUAUCACAUUACAAGCAAAUCUGUGCCCAAAUUAUUGUCUCAGGUCUUGAAUCUGAUGCUUUUUUAACUAAUUUACUUAUUGCUUUGUAUGCUAAGUCUGACUUUUUAUGUCAUGCACGCAAACUAUUUGACAAAAUGCCAGAGAAAAAUUUAAUUUCUUGGUCUUCAAUGCUUUCUGUGUAUUCCAAACGUGGUUUUAAUCAGGAAGCUUGGCUGUUGUUUUUGGACUUCACAAGGUGUUGCAAUGAGAGUCCAAAUGUGUAUAUUUUAGCUAGUGUUUUACGUGCUUCUACGCAACUUGAUGGUGGGUGUGGUCCUGUAGGUAAACUAAUGCAUGGUUUUAUUUUUAAGCUUGGUUUUGAUCAAGAUGUAUUUUUGGGUACGUCUUUGGUUGAUUUCUAUGCGAAGAAUGGUGACAUUGUUGAAGCCAGAAUGGUAUUUGAUGCGUUGUUGGAGAAAAGUACAAUUACUUGGACGAAAAUUAUCACGGGUUAUGUUAGAAGUGGGAGGAGUGAGGUGGCAUUGCAAUUGUUUAACCAAAUGGGAGAAAAUGAUAUUGUUCUAGAUAGAUACGUACUCUCUAGUGUUUUAAGUGCUUGUUCGACACUUAAAUUUGUUGAAGGGGGCAAGCAAAUUCAUGCUUAUGUGUUGAGGAGGGGAAUAGAAAUGGAUGUUUCAGUAGUUAACGUGCUUAUUGAUUUUUAUGCCAAGAGCAGUAAAGUUCAAACUGCCAGGAAGCUAUUUGAUCAAAUGGUAGAUAGAGAUGUAAUUUCAUGGACUACAAUGAUUGCUGGGUACAUGCAGAAUUCUUUUGAUGGGGAAGCUGUGAUGCUAUUUGUUGAGAUGACCAGAUUGGGUGGAAAGCCAGAUGGAUUUGCAUGCACUAGCAUACUCACAUCAUGUGGUUCGCUUGAGGCUCUAAUGCUGGGGAGACAAAUUCAUGCCUACAGUAUCAAGGCUAAUCUUGAGUUUGAUAUUUUUUUGAAAAAUGGUUUGAUUGAUAUGUACGCAAAAUGUGAUUCCUUGAAUGAUGCAAGAAGAGUUUUUGAUGUUAUGACUAAUCAUAACGUGGUCUCCUACAAUGCACUAAUUGAAGGAUACUCAAGAAGUGAGCAACUUUCCGACGUUAUGAUUCUUUUCCAUGAAAUGAGGCAUAGGAUGAUCCCACCAAGCCUUUUGACAUUUGUUAGUCUUCUUGGUGUAUCAGCUGCAUUAUCAUCCUUGGAAUUAAGCAAGCAAAUUCAUGCACUCACCUUUAAAUUUGGUGUCUGUUUGGCAAUAUUUGCUGGCAGUGCCUUAAUUGAUACUUAUUCAAAGUGCUUACGUCUUGUGGAUGCUAGACUUGUAUUUGAUGAGAUGAAUGAGAAAGAUAUUGUAGUGUGGAAUGCAAUGUUUUCUGGUUAUACCCAACAAUCGGAAAAUGAAGAGGCUCUCAAACUCUACUCUGAACUACAGGUAUCAGAACUAAAACCCAAUGAUUUCACUUUUGCUACCUUUAUUACUGCAGCUAGUAACCUAGCAAGUCUCCUACUUGGCCAACAAUUCCACAACCAUAUCAUAAAGAUGGGUCUAGAUUUCGAUCCAUUUAUCACAAAUUCCCUUAUACACAUGUAUGCUAAAUGUGGAAGCUUUGAAGAUGCCUGCAAGGCAUUUGGUUCUGCAAUUUGGAGAGAUGUUGCCUGCUGGAAUUCCUUAAUCUUAACAUAUGCACAUCACGGAGAAGCCAAAGAAGCUCUUCAGAUGUUUGAAGGAAUGAUGGAAGAGGGAAUAAAGCCCAACUAUGUGACAUUUGUGUCUCUGCUGUCAGCUUGUAGUCAUGCAGGUCUCGUUGAAGAUGGACUUCGUUACUUUAAAUCAAUGCCCAAGUUCUGUGGUCAUCCAGGAAUAGAACACUAUUCUUGUGUAGUUUCUCUUUUGUGUCGUGCUGGUAUACUAUAUGAAGCAAAGGAGUUUAUUGAGAAAAUGCCGAUAAAGCCAACAGCAGCAAUGUGGAGAAGCUUGCUGAGUGCAAGUAGAAUUGCUGGUAACAUUGAAUUGUCAAAAUAUGCAGCAGAGAAGGCGAUUUCAGUUGAUCCAAAUGAUAGUGGGUCAUAUACUUUACUUUCAAACAUG